GACGUAGGGCGCGAGCGUUGUCCGGAUUGAUUGGGCGUAAAGAGCUCGUAGGCGGCUCGUUGCGUCGGCUGUGAAAACCCGCAGCUCAACUGUGGGCCUGCAGCCGAUACGGGCGGGCUGGAGUUCGGUAGGGGAGACUGGAAUUCCUGGUGUAGCGGUGAAAUUCGUAGAUAUCAAGCGGAACACCGGUGGCGAAGGCGGCCUUCUGGACAGUGACUGACGCUG
rnacentral:rRNA from 1 species